rnacentral:rRNA from 1 species
CCUACGGGAGGCAGCAGUGAGGAAUAUUGGUCAAUGGGCGCUAGCCUGAACCAGCCAAGUAGCGUGAAUGAUGACUGCCCUAUGGGUUUUAAACUUCUUUUAUAUGGGAAUAAAGUUCAGUAUGUAUACUUCUUUGCAUGUACCUUAUGAAUAAGGAUCGGCUAGCUCCGUUCCAGCAGCCGCGGUAAUACGGAGGGUCCGAGCGUUAUCCGGAUUUGUUGGGUUUAAAGGGAACGUAGGCGGGUUGUUAAGUCAGUUGUGAAAGUUUGCGGCUCAACCGGAAAAUUGCAGUUGAUACUGGCAGCCUUGAGUACAGUAGAGGUAGGCGGAAUUCCUGGUGUAGCGGUGAAAUGCUUAGAUAUCACGAAGAACACCGAUUGCGAAGGCAGCCUGCUGGACUGUAACUGACGCUGAUGCUCGAAAGUGUGGGUAGCAAACAGGAUUAGAUACCCGUGUAGUC